CUCUGGGAUAGGGUUUAACUAACAGGAAACAACUCAGGAAGAAUGCUACAGGAACAGCUGGUGUAACAGAACAGUUGUGGGAAGAAAAAUCAGCACACUGAAUCUUGGGCCUUGCAGCUGGAGGGCCCAAGUGGGCAUCCGAAAGCCAAUGCAUACACCCCUGAAAAGCCAGACACUUUUGCUCCAGGAACUUUUCCCUGUAGCGUGGUGACUCACUAGCCCUCUGCCAAGAUUCUGAAGCCUGUGGCUGUUGAUUUACUCAACAACAAUAGAUGACAUCUUUAUUGUUGCUAUGGAAGUUUUGGCUUUCAUAGAAUACUCAGGGUCUGAGAAUAUAAAGAUUCCAUUGAAAAAUGAGUCUUUGUACCAAACAGUUUGGCGAUGGGGAGA